GAAUUCAUCGUGAAUAUCUAAACUGGUUAAAAGUAAAAUUUUCCUUAUUAAAAACUGGCUCAACGUAUAAACACUGUGUGAUAAACAUGAUGGGAAUUCCAAGUAAAAGAGAGAUUACGCUUAAUAAAUAUUAUAAUAAAGUAUAAAAGAUAUUUACACUAUUUAUACACUUUAAAUGGACGCGAAGUGAUAAAAAGAACAAGACAAGAAACCCAGUCGGCCUCACUUUAUUCGAGCAUUCUAGAGAACAAGAAUUAUAUUAAAACUAUUUUAAAAGACUUUGACCAGUGUUGGCCUACUAGUUUGAGGGUGCGACUCUCAUCCCUGAGGUCGUAGAAUCGAUCCCCGGCUGUGACUGUGCUGCUGGCGGCUGUGGCUGUGACAAAAUCAGCAGAAUUUUCCAAAUUCCGUCUGCAAAAACCAACCUAGGAUUUGAGGCCCCUCUCAUUCGAAUUCUUCGCGAAUAUAACGGAAUAAACACAACUUAUCAACUAC